rnacentral:tRNA from 2 species
UCCUCUGUAGUUCAGUCGGUAGAACGGCGGACUGUUAAUCCGUAUGUCACUGGUUCGAGUCCAGUCAAAGGAGCCA